rnacentral:rRNA from 1 species
UACGGAGGAUGCAAGCGUUAUCCGGAAUCAUUGGGCGUAAAGCGUCCGUAGGUGGCUAUUCAAGUCUGCCGUCAAAGACCGGGGCUUAACCCCAGAAAGGCGGUGGAAACUGCAUAGCUAGAGUGCAGUAGGGGUAGAGGGAAUUCCCGGUGUAGCGGUGAAAUGCGUAGAGAUCGGGAAGAACACCCGUGGCGAAAGCGCUCUACUGGACUGCAACUGACACUCAGGGACGAAAGCUAGGGGAGCGAAUGGG